UAUAAAGGCAUUCUUUAGUUACCUAUAUAAAAACCAAAUAAGUAUUAUUCAUAAACAUAUGACUAAAACAAAGGAACUUGCAUGACACAAACCAGCAAGUCAAACAGGUAUUCUUCACAAGAGACCACUUCGCAAGACUUUAACAAUGAAAGAAUGCAGAAAUUGAGUUCAACAUAUACAGAUUGAAAUAAUAACAUUUAAUUUCAUCAUGGCAUUAGCAGUUCCCAGUUAGGCAUGACCAUAUUAAGGCUUUAGAUCAUAUAAUAUAAUUACUAAAUUUACUAUUUCAAUCAACUAGAGUUUAAACUAUGUGACACCAGAGAAUGGACAAAAAAAUUGGUGAGGUCCAUAGAAAGAGGCAUGUGAAAUGAUUAUCUAUGGAACUGUGAGACACUAAGAUAAGUUACAAUUGCAGGGCAUAUGACUAUCCAGUCAAAACAGAUUAAGAUGGGGAAAGUAGGGUGUCCUUGUUAACUAUUCCACUCUUAACUUAAUUAACUAGCCUUGGGAUUCACACUAAAGCUAUGUAGGUCGUUUGAUGGCAUAAUGUAUAUAUAAUAUCCCCAAGCAAGUGGCUAGCUUGUCACUUGCCUUAGAUGAGCUUGAACAUCUAGGUUAUAGACCCCAAGCUCAUUAUAAAACAGCUCACAUACACGAAAUAUCGUUGACUAUCCAAUCUGGCUAAUUUUAUGACAACGCGCUCUGAGGCGCCAGGCGAUGUGAGGUGACCCUCUAGUGCCUCGCCUGGCUUUGCCUCGCCUGGCUUCUGGGAGGUGACCGCCACAAAGGCAGAGAUGCCAGGUGUUGGGGCAAUGAGGCGAUGCCUUUUGCAUGCUGCGUUAACUUUUUUAUUUUAUUUUCUAAUUGUUUUUUAACACAACAAAAAUUAAAAAACCCUAAGAGAACACAGCAGCUUAUUUUGUCACGCCAGAAACAGAACACAGUGGCACCUCUCUCUCUCUCACAGCAGCUCUCUCAAUCCUGAGGUAUGUCUCUCAUGUCUUAUCCUUCCCCUCUCUCUCUCUCUCU
rnacentral:misc_RNA from 1 species